UGGGGAAUUUUGGACAAUGGGGGAAACCCUGAUCCAGCCAUCCCGCGUGUGCGAUGAAGGCCUUCGGGUUGUAAAGCACUUUUGGCAGGAAAGAAACGUCAUGGGUUAAUACCCCGUGAAACUGACGGUACCUGCAGAAUAAGCACCGGCUAACUACGUGCCAGCAGCCGCGGUAAUACGAAGGGUGCAAGCGUUAAUCGGAAUUACUGGGCGUAAAGCGUGCGCAGGCGGUUCGGAAAGAAAGAUGUGAAAUCCCAGAGCUCAACUUUGGAACUGCAUUUAUAACUACCGGGCUAGAGUGUGUCAGAGGGAGGUGGAAUUCAGCGUGUAGCAGUGAAAUGCGUAGAUAUGCGGAGGAACACCGGUGGCGAAGGCAGCCUACUGGGAUAACACUGACGCUCAUGCACGAAAGCGUGGGGAGCAAACAGG
rnacentral:rRNA from 1 species